rnacentral:rRNA from 1 species
CCUACGGGGGGCAGCAAUCAGGGAUAUUGCGCAAUGGGGGAAACCCUGACGCAGCGACGCCGCGUGCGGGACGAAGGCCUUCGGGUCGUAAACCGCUGUUGUGGGAGACGAGUGCCCGGUGAUGAGCCGGGAGAGACGGUAUCUCACAAGGAAGCCCCGGCUAACUACGUGCCAGCAGCCGCGGUAAUACGUAGGGGGCGAGCGUUGUCCGAAGUUACUGGGCGUAAAGCGCGCGUAGGCGGCUCCUUAAGUGACUGGUGAAAUCCCCGGGCUCAACUCGGGAGGGUCUGGUCAUACUGGG